rnacentral:lncRNA from 1 species
UUUUUUUGUUUUUUGGUUUGUAAUUUUUAGCACAAGUCUGUAUUAAUUGAUAAGACUCUAAGACAUUUCAUUUUGAUUGCUCUGCCAAACCUACAAAUAUGCCAAUUGGGCUAAAUGUGCAUUCAGCAAUAAUAGUAGUAUAGAUGGUCCUUAAAUGCCACGCAUCUGAAAGGGCCAAGAUGUUGUACUAGCUUCACUAAAAAAUGAUGCUCUUCUAGCAAAAAAAAGUACCCGCCUGGCUUAUGUAUGUUAGUUGAUAUUAUUGAUCCAUAUACUCUAUAAGUGUUUAUAUGUCUGUUAGUUUUGUACAUUAUUGGUUGAUUGACUCAGUAUUUUGAACCUUGAGACAUCGCUUGUGUACAUAUCUAAAUGGGAGUACACAUUAUGCUGCGUGUGACACUUGAGUUGGACAUAAAGUGGUUUCAAAUAUUCGAAUUUACCUUAAACUGGAUUCUAGCUUCUGAAUUCGAGUAUCGGCAUUUGUAAAUCAUAUUCAUAUAUGACAAUGGAAUACAUCUUUGGCAUGCUUUUGAAGAUAUAUAAAAACACAUAGAAUGAUUUAUAAAGAUUCGUAUAAGAAUACAAAAUGGAUUCGAAUUUAAUUGCCAGGGUAAACGUGGAUGCUUAUUGUCCCAAAAUUAGAAAUAAGCGGCAAAAUGUCCACUCCCACGUCGGCUACCCGAAGCCAGUGUUUGGGAGAUGGAAAUUACUGUCUACCCCUUACACGGACAAUCCAUUGGCCCAAUUUCCACUGCUCUCAAUAGGGCUAGGUUAGUAGCUUGUCACUUACUCCUGCGCUUCACUUUUAUCCUAUGAGUAAAUUGUUGAAUAAAUUGAAUAUAAUGAAGCUGAAAUUAUAUGUUCAUAUCAUGCCAAGUGGUAGCUUCACAUUGGGUUUAGAAAGUGAAAUCUUUUGAAGCUUGACAAUCACAAUAUUGGUCAUACAAGCAAGUCGUGAACGAUAAAUAGAAGGAAGAGAACUUUCACAUGCAAAUACACUAUCUUGGAAAUCUUUUGUGAUUGUGAGCCCCCAUCAAAAUAUUAUAUGCCAAAAUUGUUGACGUUGGACAAGGAAAACAACGUAAUGAUUUAUGUUUGUUCAUAUUCACAUAGAAGUUAUAUUGCCAUGGAUCCUUCAACAUGUGGUGCUUGCCCCCCAUCUUUGCUAGCCAAAAAUUCCGCACCAAGUAGAGAUACUACUUGUGCAUCCAAAAACCCUUAAACCCAAAUCUUAUUUUCAAGAGUCCACCAUACCUACCUAGGGAUUGAGCAAGAUCCCUCAAGUAAGUUGUCAUCGGUGCAAUAAGGCAAUAAAAAUUGCUUCUAAAAGUGUUAGAUCAUUUAGUGUAAGAGAAAUUGAGUGUUGUACGAACUUGUGAUAGCAAAGAAUAAAAGCGACAGACUGCAUAAUAUAGGUUGCUAUCAUAAGGGGCAAUAUAACAUGACGUUCUUUUGCACUAAGGCCUUGAUCAUACAAACAAAUAAGCGCAUGGCAACCUCUGCUUCCCUCUGCGAAGGGCUUAUCUUUUACUUUAAUGUAUUUACUUUCAUGCAAGAGUCAAAGUUUUUCUCUCUAUUCCUUUUUAUUUUUCUCUUUUGGCAAGCAUCAUGUGGUGAGGAAAGAUCUAGGCGCAUAUAUCCAGUCGGAUAUGGGUAGCAUGAGUUACUAUUGUUGACAUCACCCUUGAGGUGAAUACGUUGGGAGGCAAAACAAUAAGCCCCUAUCUUUCUAUGUGCCUGGUUGAAACGUUUUGCUCAUGUGUAUGUGGUGAGUGUUAGAAAUCAUAGAAGACUAUAUGAUGGUUGAGUAUGUGGAGCUCUUACUUAGACUCUAUUGAAUAAGUUGAAUUGCAAUUGCUUGGUGACUGAGAACAUAGGUUGUUGAGUUUCAAGAGAAUUCAUUGUUUGAACCUUAACAUGUGAAUUGGUUGCCACUUUAACAUGAGAAGUUUUAUAAGAAAGAAUUGUUGUUAUGAUGCUAGGAAAAGUGAUUGAAAUUGUCAUUGGUCAAACCUGUGCACUUUGCUAGCAUUCACACUUCAUAAAUUAUUUCUUUUAUCAUUUACCUACUCGAGGACGAGUAGGAAUUAAGCUUGGGGAUGCUGAUACAUCUCCAACAUAUCUAUAAUUUAUGAAGUAUUCAUGCUAUUAUAUUAUCAUUAUUGGAUGUUUUCCAAUCAUUUUAUAGCAACUUUAUAUCAUUUUUUGGGACUAACCUAUUGACCCAGUGCCGAGUGCCAGUUGCUGUUUUUUGCUUAUUUUUUACAUCGCAGGAAAUCAAUAUCAAACGGAGCCCAAACACCGCGAAACUUUUUGUGGAUUUUUUGUGGACCAGAAGACAUCCAGUGGGCCAGAGAAGCACCUGGGGUGCCCCGAGGGGGGCACAACCCACCAGGGCGCGCCUUGGGGCCCAGGCGCGCCUUGGGGCCCAGGCGCGCCCAGGUGGGUUAUGCCCACCUCGGUGGCCACCCGCACCCCCUCUUUACCCUAUAAAUUCCCAAAUAUUCCAAAAAUCCUCAGGGUUAACCUAGAUCGGAAGUUCCGCCGCUGCAGGCCUCUGUAGCCACCAAAAACCAAUCUAUACCCUGUUCCGGCACUCCGCCGGAGAUCAUCACCGAUGGUCAUCUUCAUCAUCCCGGCGGCCACCACGAUGAGGAGGGAGUAGUCCACCCUCGGGGCUGAGGGUUUGUACCAGUAGCUAUGCGUUUAAUCUCUCUCUCUCUCGUGUUCUUGAGAUGUCAUGAUCUUGAUGUAUCGCGAGCUUUGUUAAUAUAGUCGGAUCAUAUGGUGUUUUCCCCUCUCCAUCUUGUUGUGAAUUGAGUUUUUCCUUUGAGAUUUCAUUUUAUCGGAUUGAAUACUUUUAUGGAUUUGAGAGCACUUGAUAUAUGCCUUGCAUAUGAAUACUCAUGGUGAUAAUGGGUUAUCGUAUUGACUCACUUGAUAUAUGUUUUGGCACUCAACUCGCGAAUUCCCGAGGUGACAUUAGGGUAAUCUACGCAUAGGGGGUUGAUGCACGUUCUUGUCUUUGUUUCUCCGGUAGAAAUCUUGGGGCACUAUUUGAGGUUCUUUCUGUUGGAUUGAGUAUUAUGAAUCUGAAAUUAUUUGGUGUUAUUUUAGUAUGAACUCUUGGAUAGAUCGAUUGGAAAGAAUGGCUUCGAGGUGAUUUCAUACCCUACAAACGAUUUCUUCUUAUGUUCUCCGCUAGAUAGGAACUUUGGAGUGAUUCUUCAUCGCACGUUGAGGGAUGGUUACAUGAUCCGAUUAUAUUAGCAUUGUUGAGAGAUUGCACUAGCGAAAGUAUGGAGCCUAGGCCUCAUUUUCAAGCAUUGCAAUACCGUUUGUGCUUCGCUUUAUCAAUUGCUACCUUGCUGUUUUUUAUUGUUCUUAUUACAAAAAUCAAUAUCUGCUACCAUAUUACACUUGUAUCACCAUCUCUUCGCCGAACUAGUGCACCUAUACAAAUUACCAUUGUAUUUGGUGUGUUGGGGACACAAGAGACUUUUUAUUAUUUGGUUGCAGGGUUGUUUGAGAGAGACUAUCUUCAUCCUACACCUCCCAUGGAUUGAUAAACCUUAGGUCAUCCACUUGAGGGAAAAUUGAUAUUGUCCUACAAAACUCUGCGCUUGGAGGCCCAACACGUGUCUACAAGCAUAAAGUUGCAUAGUAGACAUCACCUGUCAGCCCCGUUCAUACACCGUGGGCGCCAAAACACCCUCUCCUCGCCCGAAAUCCCUCUGGGCAAAUAUUGGGGAGAUGCGAGAUCACCGUCCUAUCCCCAACCAACGAGACAUCCAAAUUUUAAACGGGGGCUAAUUUCAUAACUUUCCCAUAUUUCAGACAGGCGUGCCCCAAAAACAUGGUUCCCCGUACCUCUCCCUCCAUUUUCCCAUUCAUACACCGUCCGCGCUAGAACAACAUCCCCACACCGGCCUCAUCCGUUCACCACACCAUCCAUCACCGCCGUCCUCCACCCCGUCCAUCGUCACCGUCCUCCACCAUGUCGGAGCGCCUACUAAGACCGUGUCGCCCACUGCUAGAGAUGGACGUUUCUCGUCCACGACGACGGACCAGGAGCCUUGCAUCGCGUCCUCUCACUUCAUCGGCAUCGUCGUCCUCUUUGUCGGGGCUGCUCACACGACCUUCUCAUCCACCGCAACGGGACUUAUCCCCCGAUGCACCCAUCUACCAUCGUAGAUCUUCUUCAACGCCACCGACAGCCAUCGCACCCCCGAUGCCUACAUGGCGCCGCAAGAGAGGUGGUACUUCAUGUCUGCUCAACUUUUUGAUCUCAACCAGAAAAUAGAUCGUAACUUGGUUACUGUACUUUCUUUUCAGCUCUUAGAAUUUAGUUAUUAGUUCAAAGCAAACAAUGGUUGCUAAAUAGCAUUUCUGCGGUUUGCAACGUCAAAUCUGCCAUGGCACAGUCACAAUAGGGUUUAAUUGAUCAUGUUGGUUCCCUGGUGGUUUCUUUAAUAGAAAUCGGAGGGGAAACCCUCUUUUGCUAAAAAAAUGCUUAGGGUUUUCCCCCUUUUAUGAUCAUUCUACGAUCAACAUACGUGCUUCGUGUCAUAAUAGCACUGCUCCACCCAUCAAGCUAAACAAGCUUAGUUGUUCAAGUACGAAUAUGAUAUUAUUAAAACAGAGUCGUUUAAUUGGUCAGCUAAAUGUUCCUAAUUUAGUUCCAAAAAUGCAUGUACGCCACUCGGGUGUGUAUCUACAGGGUGCCCACGGUGCGCCACGGCCCACCCCGGGAUUUUGGGUCGACCUAGGCCCCGAUUCCCAUCUGUUCUCCUGCGCUUCCGAUCUCUACUCGCCCCCAGUCGCCUGCCUCGCCGGCGUCUUGUCAUCCUCAGACAUCAUGACUCUAGGAGGAGACGCCAGACUAACAGGAGGUUAGGAGUCGCUCGCCCAACAGCGUCACCGCUGCCCGGGCACGCCGCCGUGCCUACCUUCCCAGUCCAUUCAGGGCUCAGGCGUGCAACAGCCACUAAGCCAACCCGAUUUAUCCUGAGAUACGUCCUCAACACUCAGCAGCCACUCCUCAUCACCCAUUUUCUAAUUGAUUCAUUACUCAUUAGGAAGGACUGUCAUUAAGGUUUGUUGUGUACUGAGUGCUACCUACACUUAAUGGUUCAGAUGUAUUUCAGUAAUCUUUAGUACCUAUAAAGUUCACAUGGUUUCAAAAUUCCGGCCCGAGGAACAGACACUAGUCAUUUUGGAUUAUUGAUCAUAGUGAUAUUGACCCAGAUUACUACUGCAGGCCAGGUUUGUUGACAACUUUACUUGUCUUUCUUACUCAUUCGAUAUGAUAUCCAAUUAUUCACGUUGAUUAGUUGCAAACAAUAAGUGCUAGACCAACUUGUUCAAAUUUUGGACGGUCUCUUACUGCAGUUACAAUUCUGCAUACUUGUCCUAGUAAGCUCACUAGUAAUGUUUGAUUCACUACCUCUAUGCUUGCCUUGUCAUAUUUGUUGUCAAUAUUCUUUUAGGGUGGACCACCCUGUUUUAAAAUACUGGAACCACAGACACGAGUGAAUAGUAUUUCUCUGUGUGAUCUCUUCCAUCAUGUGUGGGCAAUGAACACUGCAUUGUAUAGAAAGAAAGUGUCAUAUCCACCUUUUAUAUAGACUACGAUCUUUUACAUGGAAUACAAUCUGCCUACUUGCUUUGUGUCGCACUACCAGCACUCCACCCUUGAAGCUAAACAUUAUGCCACUCAUAAUUCCUUAGUUUAUUUGUUCAAAUACGAAUUUGAUAUGAUUCUAAUGUUCCUACUUCAGUUUCGAAAUGUGUGUCUGCCUAUUAUAGAGACAUAAGCUGUUUGUAUUUCUUUGUGUGUUCUGGUCAGCACGGUUGGGGGUGAACUUUGUAAACAUAGGGGUUUGUAGGGAGACACUCUUCGAGUUGAAUCCGCAAUGCAUUCCAUAAAUAAUCUGACUACUUUUUAUGUUUUCAUGAAUCUCAGAUAUUGAACAACAUCAUAAUGAUUAUGAGCUUGUGUGCAUGAAAAGAAUAAAGCAAAACAAUGCCAUGGCUGUCAAACUUGGCAUUAAGGGACUGAAAUCAAGUCUGGAUGCAAUGCAAUGCAAACGCUCUCCACCUACAGAUUCAUGCUCAGAAUAUGAUCCUAACAAUGAUUCUAAGCUAGAUAUAGGGAGACCUAAGUCAAUGUAGCUCCCUAGUGGAGGAGUCCGAGACAAAUGCCUAUCUUAUUCACCCAUCAAGGUGCUUCUCUAACUUUCCAAGGUUAUAUUGGUCACACAUAUCUUGCAACCGAUGCUUUGCAUUGCUUCUACUUUGUUAAACUGCCAUUAGCUUAGUUUACACAUCGUCUAUGUGAAUACGCCCUGCCUAUCCAUUUUCAGUACAUAUUCCAUCUGUCAUCAUACCAUAUUUAUCCAUUCAAAUGUUGUUACUGUGUAUCAGACGUUCAAAAGGAAGAGGGUGAUUGCUGAUCGCGGAGGAUCACGAACAAAGUAUUUGGAAAAGGUAGUGACACCUGAUAAAUCAAAUAGCCCAUUAGGUGUAGUUGCAAUUUCACCAGACCCAGAAAACACGGCCACAACUUUAGCAGACUCUUUGAUGACCCAACUCAGCAGACCCCAACUGCAGCAAACAGUAUGAUGAUGCCAGUUGACAUAGCACCAGCUCUACGACACAAAACCCCCAUUCCAGCAAAGAGUACAUCAAAUCCAGUUGCCAAAUCCCUUUUUGAACGAGAGAGAGCCCCAAUUGCAGCAAAUAGGACUCAUGUUCCACUUCUUCCCAGUUUAGGAGACGAAGCUUAUAUUGUCGUCAGGAACUUUGUGCGCAUCUUUCCUUCAUGGAAAGAUUAUACCACAGACAAAGAACAAUUUCCAAUCUUCCUCCGCAACUUACACGUAAGUAAUGUACUAAUGUUAUUCAUGGUAAUUACCACAUAUGUUUCUGCUGACAGAAAACACAAGAUUUCAUUCUUUUAAAUAGGCAAGGACCAAACUGGAUAAUCAAGACGAGCAAGGGUUGGUUGCGCUUUUCAAGCACUCAUUGAUGAAGUAUCGUUCCUACCUGAGGCAAGUGCACUUCCAUGGCAAGCCUCUAAACGAAAUUUCUGUAAAGUCUCCGGUGCUACAUUUAUCAGACAGUGACUGGAAUAAUCUUGUUACACAUUGGUCUCAUCUGUAGCGUAAGGUAUUGUCUAUGAUAUCACAUCACAAUUUGAACUACAUUUCUACAUGUGCCUUAACGUCUCACUUGUACGAAAACUGUUUGCAGAAGAACAUUCAUUCUCAAGGGACCACAGAAUCUCGCAACUAUACUGCACACUGCAUUGCUCUUGUGAGUACCUCUUGCCCUGUAUGGCCAUACUUACUUUCAUAGCUAGUUGAUUAUGUAGCAUCACUGCACAUGUUAGCCUUGUUAUCCUCCAUUUGGUGAACAUUAUAAGAUCUAUAUCGACUCUUACAUAAAUUUAGAAUCAACCCAAUGCUUUCGAAGAGGUUUAGCUCUGCAGUCCUCUUGUAAGGACUGAAUGUUGUCUAUCACUGUACUUACAUUAACAGCUACUCCCUCCAUCCCAUAAUAUAACAGCGUUUUGUAUAGUAAACCAGUGUUCAAAACACUCUGAUAUUAUGGGAAGAGAGAUUGGUUCAUUGUGUAGCAUUCUGCAUCUUAUCUCCCUCUCCCACCAUUUACUAAAAAAAUAUCAGAUCUAUAUUUAAUCUUACCAAAAAGUUGAAUACAUAGGCAAUGGCAGUGCAGAAGUGUAGCCCAUUGCUCUUGUCAGUACAUUUUGUCUUGUAACACUUGUACUUCCAUGGAUUGAUAGUUGAUUAUGUAGCAUCAAUCUACAUCUUAUCUUCAUUAUCCUCUAUCCCUUCCAGUAUUACCAUAUCUAUAAUUACUCUCUACAAAAUGUAGAGUACAUCCAAUGCUUAUGAAGAAGAUUCUAUGCUGAAAUUCUUGAGUUAUCCUUCCCUUGACAUGGAGAAUGGCAUUAUAAAGCCGGUGUUAACUAUUAAUGUAUGUCAGUCCUUCUAAAGCCUUUAUCCUCAACUGUUGUUUAAUUUCCUCAUACUCCCUAUCGUCAACUGCUGUUUAGUUUAUUGUUUCUAUCAAAAUGCAUGUUCGCAACAACUGUAAGAUCCAAGUUUUACUUGUGAAACCAAAUUCCUUAUUCAUACCAUGCACAUUACUCAAUACUCCCUAUAUGUAUGCUUAUUUUUGUGGAUCUAUAAUCCAGUUUGUGGUGAAGCAGCCCACGUUUGCACGUUGUCAUCUCCUGUUUUAUCUUACUGAUGUGGCUGAUGGUAUGAACAACAUGCCAUGCACAUUAACCAAAAUAGAUACAACGAUUGUGUUUGCCCUUCAGCUAUGCUUGUUUUGUUGACAUGCUAAUCCAGUAGUGUGGUGAAUCUCACUGCAUUAUGAACAAUGCCAAAUUAUGUUAUUGAUAUUUUGAACUUACUCUUUAUUUUCUAAUUUGAAACUGGAUGGAAUUGAUAGCACAGUUACCAUCUUUGUUUAUACACGUGCAAAACCUGUCAUCUCUCUGUUUGUUUUAGGGUGAUAUGCCUGAUGGCAUGCACAAGUUUGCCGAAGGCUGUGAGACAAACCCAACAUAUACAGCAAAGAAGGCAAAACAUCUUGAAGAUAGCAAGACAACCCCAAAGUCUUGUCUUGAUGCAGUGUUCAAGUUACUUGAGACUAGCAGUCAGACAAGCUCACAGAAUUCGCUGUCUGAAUCAGUUCGAUUUCUUCAGUCCCAAGUUCUAGUAGAAAGGCAUUCUGUAACUCAACUUCGACUUGAUGUCCUAUCUCUAAGAAAGAUUGCGGAGAACACCAAUGAGAACCUCAUUGCUAAACAGCUACACCUAGAAGCUAUGACCGACAUGCUAGGUCAAUCUCACAGCCUUGCUCAGCAGCUUGCGUAGCAGUUCCCGCGCAAGGCUAACCUUUCUUGAACUGUUUUGGAAGUGGUCUUGGUUCAGUAUUAUUUUGUUAUGCUGCAAUGGCGCCCAGUUUUUGUAAUCUGCUUCUUCGUUGCGCUUUAUGAUCACUGGUGGCAAACUUCGAUGCCCAGUGGAUGUAAUAUAUCAUAAAUCCUUUAUUGUAUAGUGUAGGUUUAUUCUAAGUUAUUAUGCCAUAAUUUCUUUAUGGUAUAGAGUAGGUUUGUUCUUAAUUCCUACUAGUUACCGUAUAUGCCAUCAUUCUCUAUCUGAAAAAACGUCAAAAAUAUGAUGUAGUCGCCGGGCCGAAACAUUCGCCUCUAACGGGCCUGCAUUUUAGCGGGCCACAAUUGGGCCGGCCUGGAACUUUCUUGGGCCUGAAAGGCCAUUGGGGCCUUCACACUUUGCGCCAGGCCCAUAACUUACACGGGCCUAUAUUCGACCCAAAGUUUAGUUGGGCCUUUAGUGGACCCUGCGCUUAGUUGGGCCCAUGUAGCUUUGGGCCAUUAACAGGCUGAAUAUUCUGCUGGCCUGUUACGGCCCAGAAGAAACCAUGGGCCUUUAGCAGGCCGAAAUGCAUGUUGGGCCUCAAUUUUCACUAGUCGUCGACGGGCCUUCAGCAGGCUGAAAUGUAGACUGAGCCAUUACUGGCCCAGUUAUAUGACGGGCCAUUACCAGGCCGAAACAUAUCUCGGGCCUUAGUUGGCCCACUGAUAUCAUGGGCCUUUAAGAGGCCCAAAGCUUAGUAGAGGCAUCAACGGGCCGAAUUAUACGACAGGCCUUUAACAGGCCCAAAGUCACGUUGGGCUGAAUUGUUGCCACCUUUAUCACGAGCCGUUAGUGGGCCGGAUGUCGCAUCGGACCAUAUAUGGCCCAUGGGUAGCAUGGGCCAUUCCCGGGCCGAAAGACACACCGGGCUGAAAUGGGCCCAUGUCUACAUCGGACCUCUAACAGGCUGAAAUGUCACUGGGCCGUAAUUGGGCCCAAAUAUUCGGUGAAUAAUGAAUGGGCCAGAUCUGGCUUCGGGCCGUAAAUGGGCCAUGUUUAAACAGGCCGUUAUUGGGCUGGCCCAUUAGUACCUGAGUAAAUACUAUGGGCCUUUGAUUGGCCGGCCUUUUUAACCUAUAUGGGCCUCUGUUGGGCCCUGCCACGUGUUGACGUAUCAUAGGCAUGUCUCCUUCAUUGGACGGACGACAUCUGGCCCACCGAGGAGCCGACACGUGUUUCCUCCAGCCAAUGAUGAUUUUACACGUGGAAAAUCCCCAUUGGUUCGGGCUGUUAACGGGUUAUCGGAUCCAAAUCGGAACUUGAUAGCUUAACGGCGACCCAUUACGGUGGAUGCCACGUGUCGGUUAUCCUUGACGAAAGCACUUCCAUGACGCGCCAUUUAUCGUCAUCGAAGUGGACACUUACGUGAUGAUAAUUUUGAUAUUGUCAUGGAACACUUCUACGACAACACAUGUAUGACUAUCUUGAUUCUGUCAUAAAAUCGUCAUGGAUGUACAUGCAUGACAAAAACGUGACCUAUUGUGACAAACACGUAUCAUCACGUAAGUUGUUUUUUUAGUGAGUAAAACUAAAGGAUUACACGUACAAGUCUCACAAAAUAGAGAAAAAAAUAUAUGGAGUAAAAAUGAUCACAAAAUGGAGAAAAAAUAUGUGGAGUAAAAAUGAUCAUAAGAUGGAGAAAAAAUAUAUGGAGUAAAAAUGAUCACAAAAUGGAGUAUUACACAUACGGAGUAAUUUCACAUGGGAUACACUCUGCACAAGUCUCAUCUCAAGGAACUACAGACACUCCACAUCUGAACAAGCCUCAUGUCAAGCAUAUGAACAAGCCUCAUCACAAGUAGCACAGUCUCAUCACACGCAACGCAACCUCAUCACAAGCAUUCGAGCCUCAAUACUCUCAUCUUCCAUUACUGAACCCUCUCAAUUAGCCCUAAGUUGUGUAGGGCAUUUUGCGUACACCUCUUGAGGGCAUGAUAGUCUUGGAGGUAGCUGCCCAGAUUUUUUGUCCAAAAGGACCACCUGACUAGAUGAAUUGACAAAAAGGACUACCUGUGGAUCAAUUUGACAAAAAAGACCCCCUCAGCGGUGGCGGCAGGCGCGGUAGCCGACACAUGGCGCCUGCCGCCAUGGUAGGAGGCGGCGGGCCCUACCGCCAUGCUGCAAGGCGGCCAGCAGCCCAGAACGUGUUUCCGUGGCCGGGACGGAACGGGCCAGAGCGUGUGGGCCACGCCGCCACAGGACGAGGCGGCCGCCACUAUUGCUGCCGCGCCCAGGCCGACAACGCGUGCUGCACGCUGGCCGAGAUCGCGGGCCAUGCCGCCGCUCCACGAGGCGGCAACCCUGUUGCCGCUGCAUGCGGUGCGACAAACUUUGCUGUGGCAAACGGCGAUGAUUCCCACGCGGACGACGCUGAUUUCCACGGGCGGGAAUCUGAUGCUGUGAGGUGAUUCAUAUGCCCCCGGUAAUCACUCACUCUGCUGGCUUUUGCUUCAGUGGAUGCGACCGCAUCAGUCACUCAGCACUGCUUUUCUUCGGAGGACGCGACGGCACUGUGGGAAUUAACUCACUCGGUGCGGGAAUCCGAGGCUGCAGUAGGAUGGGUUUUAACCUGAUCUGCCAACACUACAGGGAUCCUCUUCUUUUUAUAUGCCAUGCUUCUGCUCCGUGCGCAAGCAUACUCUCUGUGGCCUCAUUCCUCUCCUUUGCUCUCUAAGUAUCUAAGUACAGAGAGAAAGAAAAGCUCAGUAGGCACUUUCACUCGUGAUUUAGGGCGAUUUAGAGUUCGAUUUUGAAGAUGGCGAAGUUGAAGAAAAGUUAGAUUAAGGUAAGAUGUAUCCAUUUUUGUUGGUUUCGUUCGCAUGCAUGAUGUUUUUGUUCUGUUUUAUUAGUUCCUAAGUGUGUAUUCUAUGUUGUUUUAGGCAUUAUUUCAGCACUUGGAGGAUUCAUUUGGAGUUUCUGGAGUAGGAUUUGCCGUACAAAGGGAAGUAUGAAGGGGGAGAUCAAGGUAUGAGCUUUGCAAUACUUGGAUUUUUUUGUGCAUGCACGGUGGUAAUUAGUUAGUCUUUUAGCUCGUCAUUAGCUAUGCGAUGUUAGUGCUUAGAGGUUAGAAAAAAUUUCAGACGACACAUACAACAUUUAUAAUAUUUUUUUAGAAGAGUAGGUUGAAGAUGUUGUAUCAAUGUUAGUUGCGUCCAUUAGUAUUGACAUGCGAGAAGCUCUUAAUACGGUAAUUAAGAAAAAAUUGCAAUGUAAUUGUUCAUUGCAUGUGGUAUGUUAUUUCAUGUGGUAUGUUUAUUAAUAAGUCUAUGGUUAGGAAACCGUAGGUCUACUUUGUUAUGUCGCAGUAAUCUAAAUUUUAUAUGUUAAGAUUUGGUGCUAAUGCACUUAAUGAUAUAUGUAAUUAGGUAAAGUAAUUCAUCUUCGUAGCAAACAAGGAGGAGAUGACGUGAUUGAAGAAAUUGUGUUUCCAUCUUCGCUGUCCCUUUCGAGGUGAUGACCACAUACAUGCAAGUUCUAUUUUCAUACUUUUGAUAGCAGAAAGAAAAAUCCGUGUGUAAUAUUGAUGUUCAUGUGAUAAUAGGUUGACUCCGUUCAUAUAGUAUUGGUGACGGAUAUUUAUUCGAAAUAUUUUGACGCUUAAUUGCAUUCGCAAGCACAUCCAUAUUGGAGCUAAGGUAUAAAAUGACGUCGUAAUUCUGUUAAUAUUUUUUAUAUUGAUGUACUGUUGUGAAUAAUGUGCAUGCCGCUGCAAAUAUUAUUAUUUGUAAAUAAAUGAUUGUUAUCGUAUGAUAUGAAAAAAUUAUAUAAAGCCGGAAGAAAUUAAAUGUUUUAUUCAUAUGAUAUUAAAAUGUUAUUAUCGUACUAUUAUGUUUAGUGGUUGUUUGGAUAGCGAGUAAUUACCCUCGGUUUUGUCAUAACCUGUUGUCAGAAAAUUUUGUAGAAAACCAGUUUUUACUAAUAGUCGUUUUUCCAAAAGCUCAGUUUUUGCAUGUUACGAGAACCAGUUUAGGAUAUUUUUUGGGUAGUUAGAGAAAAGCAAACAGAUUUUUAGUUUGUUACGCUCGUAGACGAGUUUGAGAAAAAAUAGAUCCCUAAAUACCCGUUAACCAAACAACCCCUUAAAGUCUAAGCAAAUGGUUCUAAAAACAAACCGAAUAUUUGUAAUGAAAAUACGGUUAUUAUUUUAGUCGUAUGAUAUGUAAAUGAUGUCAUCGUACAACUACUAAAUGUUCAGUUACUAAUUAUUUGAAAUGUAAACAUGUAUGUUGGUUAGGUAUUGUGGAAAAUUUAGUAGUGUAUUGUGGGAACGUCUUACACGACAGUCCUUUUGGGGUGGAUGUGUCCUUGUGCGAGUCGACUAUAGUUGUAGUGAGAGACAUGGUCAACGUGGAUUACGCAGCAGUCAGAAGGUGCAUCCGAGCGGUGUUUGGCCCAGGGAUGCAGGGGGAAAAAUGACAAUGGAGGCCUUCGUCGUUGACGGAGGAAAUGAUGGGACAGUUACCCGUUGGGGUUGCGGCCUGUCACAGGUGAUCAGUCGUGGGGGGUCAUACAUGAGGUUUGCAAGCAAUCCCAAUAACUCAAUGUAUGGUCAGCCGAUGGUGUACGUGGACUUCAUUUCAGUCACUGAUGUUGCUGGAUGCAGUAGCAGGGGUGGUGAGGUCGAGUUGGCAAUCACAUCAGCCACUAGCGUCGGCCCAUCGGAACCGACGGGCGGCCAGCCUAUGUAUGACACAGGAUAUUGGUAUGCGGCCGUUGACCUAAGCGAACACGUGGAGGGAUUGCCGGAGGCGCUAGACGAUGAUGAUCAUUCUUCCGCGUCUUCGGACUCAAGCGAAGAAGAAGAUGUUCCUCCUCAGAGGGCGGUCGCGGUGGCACUGCAACCUGGGUUUUUACAGGAUAUGAGCAUCACCAAUGAAUUUCACUCUGUUUCUGGCCUAGGAGCGGGGAGCCUGGGGGUUGGGCAGGUUUUCCCAGACAAGAAGUCUGCUUACCAGGCAAUAGAUAGCUAUGCAAUCGCCCUCCACCACCAGCAUAGAGUGAAGCAAUCUGAUAAAAAAGAGUUGAAGGUCAUAUGCAUCCACUCCGCGAAUGGUUGCCGCGGAAGAGUUCUCGCUAGACUGAAGCCUGGGGUAUGUCAGUCAUGGCAUAUCACAAAAAUAGUGGAGCAUAGCUGUGAUCAAACUGGGGCUCUUUCAAAUCACUGCAAUGUGAUAGCAAGAUAUGUGGCACAGACGAUGGAAACGAUUGUGCAGGGAAGUCUCAACGGUGUUAGGGCUUUGCAAAAAGAUGCAGAAGAUCAAAUUGGCUUCCCUGUCAGCUACAGCAAGGCUAGGCGUGCGAAGGAAAAUAUAUUCAAGAACUUGUAUGGAACCUAUGAGGAGGCCUAUUCUUAUGCCCCCAGAAUGCUUCAUCAGAUAGCAAGUGCUAAUAGGGGGGCUCAAGUUUGGCGGAGAGAACGUCCAAACCCAAUGAACCCGGGUGAGCUAAUCCUGGACCGCUUAUUCUGGGCAUUCGCCCAGACUAUACAAGCCUUCAGGCACUGUCGCCCAGUAUUAUCAGUUGAUGGUACCUUUCUCACUGGAAAGUACAAGGGCACACUAUUGGUGGCAAUUGCAGUGGAUGCAAAUAAUCAGCUUCUUCCUAUUGCAUAUGCACUAGUCGAGAGCGAGAACAAAGAUAGCUGGUUGUGGUUCCUGAGUUGCACGAAGAUGGGCGUCGUGAAAGAGCGUGAAGGUGUUUGCAUCAUCUCUGAUCGCAACACUGGAUUAUUAAGCGCUCUUGACAUAAUUAAGGCGUCGGAAGAAGAGUGGGGCUGGCCUGAUCUAGAGGGAAGGUGGUGCAUGAGGCAUUUGGCAGCAAACUUUUACUCCAAAUUCAAAAACAAGGAUUGGUUCAAGUUAUUCAAGAGGAUGUGCAUGCAAAAAACUGAAGCCAAAAUGAAUGCAAUCUGGGCAGGUAUCAAUGGUGAGAUCGACCGUGCGGCCUUGCCGUAGAGAGAAGACCGGACGGGUCGUAGGACGCCCAUAAAUUUGAGCCAGUGGAUCGGCGAGAGUUGCCCUCAUUUGUACAAGUGGGCGCAGGCUCACGACACCGGGGCUCAGUAUGGAAUAAUGAGCAGCAACAUGUCAGAGGUGUACAAUGGUGUUCUUAAAGGGGUGCGAGCACUGCCUAUCACAGCCCUAAUUGAGGAAACUUGGAACCGGGCCCUGUCAUACUUUGCAGACAGGGUCACCGUCGCCAAUGCACAAGUUGAAUUGAACAAGCCAUGGUCUGAGAAGAUGCAAAGACAUCUGGACGAGAAAGCAAAGAAGUCCCAAAGUCAUGGCUGCAGGAAAGUGGACGCACUUAGGAAUAAGCGGGAGGUCAAUGUGUGAGCCAAGUGCGUUAAGGGUCACCACAGAGGAUCAAAAAAGCAAGUUGUCACCCUCAGCCCAACGUCCUAUGAGUGCACUUGUAAUAAGCCCAAGCUUGAGGGCUACCCUUACAGUCAUGUGCUCCGGGCGGCUGCUGAUAAAAAAAAUCAGUGUCGAGCCAUACAUAUCGCCGUACUUCAACAUGUACAAUCUGUACAACACUUGGAACGGUGAGUUCUGGGCUUGGGGCAUUGAUAUGAACUACAAAAUGUUAUGGCCAGAUGGGUCGAAAUGGGUUCCGGACGCCGACUUGAUGAGAACCGCAAAGGAACGACGUCAGUCUAGGCGUCAUCGCAAUGACAUGGACCAUAGCUAGAUGGGAGAACCAAGGCGAUGCCGCAUUUGCAGGUGUCCUGGACAUUCACGCAGAGAAUGCCCGUAUCGAGCCAACAACACUGCAUGAUGUUGAUAUAUCUGUACUCGCUAUGUCUAUUUAUAUUUGUACUCGUUAUGUGUACUUAUAUUAAAUUUAAAUUGAAUCUCUUUGUAUUAUUGUACUCAUGAUGUUAACUUCAGAUAAUUAAUGUAAAUUGUAUCUCUUUGUAUUUUUUAAGUUAAUUUUGAUUUGCAUUUGUAUUUGUAUCUUCCUCAUAAUUUAUAUUUGUAUGUUUGUGUGCAGGUUAUGGCUGAAGUGCCAGUGCUUUUGCAGGGGCCCCAUGACGCCGGCCACCGUUGCCACCUAUUUUUGAACCCAAAUACUAAGCAUGAUUAUCGGACUUUCAGACUUCGAACCAUAAAGAAAACAUGGCCAAUACACAAUUCUUUCCUUGCUCACCAUGACGCUUAUGGACUACAAGGUUUUGCUAGGCUCACAUCAUGCGACAACUAAUUACGUUCGAACCCAUCCCUUUUGACAUCCCUCAUUGACCGGUGGAGACCUGAAACCCACACCUUUCACUUUCGUUGUGGGGAGCUUGCACCUACACUGAAAGAUGUUUCUAUGAUCACUGCUCUACCAAUUAGAGGUGAGUCGUUAGUCUCUCCACGAGUGUCUCCAUCUUGGACAUUAGAUAUAGCAGCUCGUCUUGGGAUGGCAAUGCCAGAAUCACAACGUUCUAGUGGCCCUCGGGGCAUCCCACUCGCCUGGCUUCGUGAUAGCUUUCGUAUUUUAUCUAGCUUCGCCGAUGAUGAGACGAGAAAAAGACACUGUUUGCGUAUUUGUUGUGGCUCCUCGGGACUCCGUUUCCAAAUUCACACGGGGACGUAAUUCUCCCUGGUCUCAUCUACAUUGCAGAGAAUAUGGUAGAUGAACCUUUACCCGAGCAGCCAAAAUACAACUUCGGUUCUGCCAUGCUAUGUCAUACAUAUAGAGGCUUGUGUGAUGCCACACAAAAAAAUUCUUUCGCACAAAAAGCUCCGUUACUUUGUGUCGCCUACGAGUUUCUACAGUUGUGGUCCUGCGAAUACCUCCCUGUAGGACGACCUCAUAUACUAAAUCCUGUACACCCAUACGACUUUAGCGAGGGCAGCAGUGCAACUAUGGCCACCAGGUGGACAAAGGCACGGAAACGUUGGUCUCCAGAUAUUACGAAAAAUUGUUACCCUAUGUACCACCAGCAGUUUGAGAUACUUGAUGAGGCAGAAGUCACAUGGAACUCGUGGACUCAGGACCAGAUACAAAUGGUCUUUGAUAUUCGACCCAUCACAACAGGCAUGUUGAGCGAUAGUACAUUCUGGCUGACUCGCUGCAACUUAUUGUUCCUGUGGUAUGUUGAGCCUUACAACCCAGAGCAUGUAAUGAGACAGUUCGGUCUCUAUCAAGAGAUUCCACGACCUUUUCCAAGACAUAUUGAUGAGGAAACUCAUAAGUAAGAUGUGACAUCCAUAAAUAGUUAGUGUCUUUUUUAAUUUACUAAACUCACACUUUGUUACAUAAUUUGCAGGCUAACCAAUAUGGGCAGGGGUUGGAGUUUAUACGAUUGGAGGGAACACAACAUUCAAUGGGUACACAAGUGGGAAAAUGAAGCGCUAGCUGAUAUAGUGCAUCAACUUAGGUACAUUUUAUUUACAUUAUUUUAUUACGAUGACCAUACGAUGCGUGAAGAUGCUUUGCUUUCAUCACAACGGUUUAUGUAAUUAAUUAAUUUUGCAGACCGUACGAUGGAAGUACAGAUCAAGCGUACAAGCAGUGGUACUGCGUCAACACACGUACUAGCCUGGCCAGUUAGCCAGCUACUAUACCAACACAUCUCACACAGGAGGAGCAGGCGGAGAGACAUAUUGAGCUGCAUGCAGCUUACUAUCAUGACCAGAUGGUAAUCACUUGUAACUUUUUUAGGUCCAUCAUUUCAACCAAAUAACAUCCAAAUAUUGUUCAGCUUGAAAGUUGCAACGAAGUAGGGCAGAUGGCUGCGGAAAGCAUGCCGGCUCGGGGCCCAGCUCGCAAGUCAUUCCAGAAAUGUUUUCAAGAAUACAUGGCAACAAAGUUCAGAUGCGGUAGAGGCGACAAUGUUGUCACUGGAGCGUACAACAUGCCGGUAGCGAGGUCAGCCAGACCGAGUGCGGCGCCGUCGUCCAGACCGAGCGAGGCGCGUACGAGCCAUGGGCAGUGGGGCGAGGGUCCGAGUAUUAGAACGACAUUGCCAUGACAUGACUCAUCUCUGCCACUGCAUCGCUCUUCUUCGGUGCAGCUUCAUCAGGGGCAGACAUCUCAGGACCAUGGCACGGGCUUGGAUUCGAUGCCCGAGCAGACUCUUUCCCCUAACCCAUAUGCGUACACAGGAUAUGACGCAUACACCCAAGGUGAGGGAUCUCAGUCAUAUCUCUCCACGCGAGGGAUCUCCAUGCCCGAGGAGACUCGUGUACCAGAUUUAAACAAGUACCACGUACAAUGGCCAGACAGUACAGGCAAGGGAUCUGAUCAGGUAGUCAUGUUUACAUUUUAAUGCAUUUACAAUCAUAUCAUAUAUUAUCCUCUAACAGUUUGUUUACAAUGUUUCUAUGUGCAGGACAUACCUGAUGUUAAUUGGGACGAUGAGGACACCGAACGUGGCCUCAACACAGGCAUCCGGGGAGCAUCACAUGAUCAUGGCGACAUGGUUACAUCAUUAGUUACAGAGUUCUUCGGAGGGGACGUUAUUGGCCCAUCUUUUAUCCCCGCGGAGUCACAACCAUACGCCUACAAUUACGCUUCUGGUUCGCAACAAGGAUUCCCGAUUCCACCACCUACGCAGGAGUCGCAGACACAUGAAGCCGAAGUGGAGUAUGGCCGUGGUCUUCGUGUAACUCGGCCACCUAAUUGCUUGUCGCUUUCGGUCGUAAGGAAAGGCCAGGUGGCCGUCGUCGACUAGGGUGAUUCAUCUAUCCACGUGUGCGACCCAUUCUAUCUACAUAUGUCAGUAUCAGACUUUCCGAUUUAAACAUAUAUGUAUGCUGAAUUAAAAAUGCACCAGUCAGAAACAAUUUUUCCCACCUAUAUCUCCCGCCAUACUAUCCCGCUUCACUCUUCGGCUUAAGUUAGGCCGAAAUGAUUUUUUUUAAUUUUGGCUGAUGAAUACUGUGCAACCAUUGCCCAUCUUAGACAUUGAAAAAAUAUAUUUUCGCGCAACCCUUUCCCCUCAAUAUUUUCCCGCCAACUCUUUCGCUCCAUAUGUUCCCGCCACCCGUUUCCCGCCAACCCCUUCCCGCCAUAUAUUCCCGCAACCCUUUCCCGCCAUACCGCAAUCGUUCUUUCCCGCCAUUUUCUCCUCUCUACCUAUAAAACCCCCUUCAGAUGGAGGUGGAUAAGCAUUCGAGUGUAGUGUAGUCGAGAUGUCCCAUUAUCCUUUCGAUCGUAGUUUUCACCCUGAGAUGAGCAGGACUCUUCUGAGGCUAGCUACCGAUUUCAGGAUGGACAAUAGGAUAGUUCCAUGGGACAAACUCAGCGGUAGAGACACCAUAAUGAAUGAGUUGGCUCACGAAUUACGUAGGUCUGGGUGCCCUGAAAGGACCUAUGAGGAGGUACGUAAAGAACUUCUUAGGUUGCAUGCAAGGUGGAAGAAGGUAGUGGAGCCGAAGAGUGAAACUUUCAGAAGGACUGCAGCAAAGCAUCCAUUUUUAUGGACCGACGACAGCGAGGACGAAGAUGAUAUCUUCAUGCCGCCGCUUCCGGGUUCUGCAUCGUCAAAGGGCAAGAGUUCUGCAUCGUCCAAGGGCAAGAGUACUGCAUCCUCGAAGGGCAAGAGUUCUGCAUCAUCCAAGGGUAAGAGUUCUGCAUCCUCGAAGGGCAAGAGUUCUGCAUCGACGGAGGAUGACGAUGAUGCCUUCAUGUAGUUUUUAAGUUGUAUUCCAGUUCUACCGUUUAAUUCAGAUGUACUUGCAUUAUUAGUUUGUACUCUCUUAUUGUAUGAGAUUAUGUUCUAUCUUAAUUUCAUUUUGUAGUUGUUGCAGGAUGUUCGAUAAUUAGUGGAGGGGAAGAAAAUGCCACUAAUUUAUUCUAAAACUAUAUAUUUUUUCAUUACGACACGGUCCAACUGAAAAUAAGAUACAUCGUACUAUUGAAAUAAAGCUACAUUUAGCUACUGAAAUAAAGCUACAUUAAACUGCAGAAAUUAAGAUACAAACCAUUGUGAAAUUUAAAAUACUACCACACGAAUCUACUGAGUCCAGCGUGGAUAUUUUCCUUUUCCAUCGCCAGCUUCUUCUGCUGCCUUGGCCUCACGAGCCCUUUCUUUCUUUCUCUGUCUCUCCGUCACCUCCUUCACCUUGCAAAGAUCGCCACACCAACAACGCAGGACUGCCACCCCCGGAGGCAAACUUGCAUUCUUCAUUUUCGUUGGCCUAAUGCUUUGAUCCGAGCAAGACAAACUCAUACCGACUGAAAGAAUGUGUUACACACUUUGCGCAAUGGCGAUUUCGAGGUUGGCUGGACGAAGCCUCGGUGUCUCCUUUUAUAGGCUCAGACAACAAAUGAUGGCGAGAAAAUAAGCGCGAACAGGCAAAAUUAGGCGGGAAAUUUUAGGAUCCCUGUAGUGUCGGCACAACAGGUUCCCGCAGCAUGGGAUUCUCGCAGCGAGCGACUGAUUACCGCAGUGCCGUCGCAUCCGCUCAAGCAAUAGCCAGAGUGAUUCUCACAGUGCCGUCGCAUCAGCUGAGGCAAAAGUAGCAAAAGCAGGACUGAUUCCCGGGCAAAAGAACCAAAAGCAGGGCAUCAUCGUCCAUAUUCCCGCGCGAGGGAGUCGCCGCCGUCAGCGUCGGAAUCAGGGUCAUCUCCGUUGCGUCUACCAGAGAUGCCGCCUGCCGCAGUGGCAGCAUGGCCCACCGGCUGGGCCCGCGAACAGCAGGGCUUGUCGGCCAGGAGCGGCAGCCACAGCGCUGGCCGCCUCGCCCGGUGGCGGCAUGGCCCACUGCGCCUGGCCCAUUCCGUCCCGGCUGCUGGCACUGUAAAAAAAUUGUUAUACACCGCGCGGCCGCCUCCUGCUGUGGCGGCAGGGCUCGCCACCUCCUGACGUGGCGGCAGGUGCCACGUGUCACCUGCCGCGCCUGCCGCCACGGCCGAGGGGGUCCUUUUUGGCAAAUUCAUCUGCAGGUGGUCCUUUUUGGCAAUUCGUUCGCGCAGGUGGUCUCUUUCGACAAAAAAUCAGCUGCCCAAGACCCUCAAGCCUUUCCUUGUUCACAUGGGGUGUUUUAUACCCAUUGCCCCUUGCAUGGUUCAGGAUCUCAAUCAUGCACGCCUGCAGAGUUAGGAAAAUUAUGUUGAGCUUGUAAACCUGAUAGCCUUCAAAUUCCUCCAAAGCACUUAACUGAAUUUUUAUGCACAUAGGUGCAUAUUAAUUCAGCAAAGUGGUUUAAAAAACACUUAACUGAAUUUUUAUGCACAUAGAUGCAUAUUAACUCAGCAAAGUGGUUUAAAAAGCACUUAACUGAUUUUUUAUGCACAUAGGUGCAUAUUAAUUCGGUAAAGUGCUUUAAAAGCCCAUUUCUGAAUUUUUAUGCACAUAGGUGCAUAUAAAUUCAGAAAUGUGCUUAAAGCACUUGGAAUUUUUAUGCACAUAGGUGCAUAUAAAUUCAGUAAUUGUGUAACUUAAGUUGAUUUAAAAUUUUACUCCAUCUGUUGUAUUUGUUGUAUCGACUAGUAUUUUUUUGUACUGCAGAAACCCAACUUCCUUACAAGUCUUAAUUUGGAGUACAAGAGUUGCCUUGCUGUCCUUAACUAAAAAGCAAAACCAGCCCUAGUAGUAUUAUGCUGCACCUCUUUUUGCACAGUUGCUACUCAUGGAAUUCUAGUAGUGCAAGCCAUGCCACUAUAAAUCUCUCUUUUGAGUGUUGCAUUGUGUCAGCAAUUACACAUGUACAGUAAAAUCUUGCACAGGUACAGUAAAAUCUUGCAUUGUGUCAGAUGCCACUAGAAAACUCACUUUGUCUGUUCUUUUUGACACAUUGGUCGUUCAUACAUAUUCUGACAGAAACUAUAGAAGUACAUAUCAGCACUACUCCUUUGGCAUUUAUCUGUAUUCUUUGGAGUACUCCCACCUAGGAGUACUCAACAUGUUUAUCUCCCACCUAGGAGUACUCAGCAAAGCACCUAACUAAAUUUGUUGCUUAAAUUUUUUGCAAAGCACCUCACUGACCAUAUAAAUUCAGCAGAGCACCUUACUGAACAUAUAAGUUUGACAAUACCGUGUCAGUUGCCUUAAAAAUGUGUAACUGUGUCAGUUGUUUUAAAAAUGGAGUAAAUCAACCAUUUUUAUACUGACCAUACAUUGCCUGUUGUGAACAUUUUUAAACUGCCCAUAUAUAUCAAGUUAACAGUAAAUCAAGAAAUGUCAAGUUAACAGUAAAUCAAGUUAAAUGGAAAGCAAGUCACUGUGACAACAAUACUGUUACUGAAAAUGGAGCAACGCACCUACUCUUAAUUUGUCAAUUGAUCUUGUUGUUGUUGCAGUUCACACAAUUGACCUUUGCUGUUGUUGCUAUUCCUGUGAUUGAUUUUCUGCUGUGGAACAUUCAGAGUAACCGUUUGCUCGAGUGUGAUCUUCAGAAUCCGACCACAAUUUACUUGAUGAACCAGACAAGAGGAACAACAACAGAGGAUAAAGUUGAAGAACCAAGUACUUCAAUCAGCAGACCACUCCAAUCAAACUGAAGUACUCCCUCUGUAAACUAAUAUAAGAGCGUUUAGAUUACUAAAAUAGUGACCUAAACGCUUUUAUAUUAGUUUACGGAGGGAGUACUAAGUAUCUGUUCCUCCAAUCACCCCAAACCAAGGUAUCGAGCAGUAGAACCUGCAACAGUUACUCUCUUUUUGCACUUAUGAGGGACGUGAAAACUUCAGUUUAAAAUCACUUCAAUCUUGUGGGAUUUUCACACAAAAAUUCAGGUCUCGAACCAGGCGAAAGGGACACUACAGGCAACAAGUGACGAGCACCAUGUGCCGACAGGAGCAGCGGCGGACUUCGGGCUCAAGGCGAACAACAGAGGACCAGAGCCAAAAUCAAGCAGCGGAGUAGCAGAGGAUUGGAGCUGUGGAUCAACUCGAGAGGAGCAGGGGAGCAGCAGAGGAUUGGAGCUGUGGAUCAAUUUGAGAAGGACACUGGAGCUGUGGCGGACGGCGUAGGAGCGGCUGACCUCGGGCUCUCAAUUGGAGCGAAGGAAGGCGGCCGGCGGAUAGUUCGGUACUUUUUCCCGUUUUCACCUGGUCGGAGAAAAUUCCGAGCGACAAAUAUAUCGGAAGAGGGAGUAGUAUGUUCCUCGUGCAACCGCCGCCUUAUCUUCUUCCUCCACUUCGAUCUCCUUUCUUUCUCGAUCUAGCUCCCACUCAACCCAUGACCAACAUCUCCCCUGUCACUACCGAGCAAGAUCGAGAGGGGAGCCGCACGGCGUUGCGCCGCCUUUGGCCCCGCCUUCUCUGCGCCGCACCGAAUCUACUCAUCGCGGUAGCCUGCUGGUCGAGCGCACAUUUUGGGCACCACCUCCACCCCGUCUCUUCUGACUUGCGCCGCCCGUCGCGACCAGCCUAGGAUCCGCGUCGCAUCAUCUCCACGGAUGCCUCCCCGGCGCUGCAGUGCCUUCAUGCCUCUAAGCGGGCUUGGCAGCAGCGCUUGUGGCGGAAGAGGGCACCGGCGGCUGCGAGGAGGAUUGAACAAGAGAAACCGGAGAUCUGGGAGCGAUGGCAUGACGGUUGACCUUACCUGCUACCUCUUGUGCCAAUCUCCCCCUACCAGCGCCGCCCGGUCGAAUCCUCCACUUCUCGUCCCCUAUUUCUCCCUUUAAUUGACUCAUCUCUCAUGUUAAUGUGUUUAGUAUGUGAUCUGAUGCACUCAAAGAUUCUAUGUGUUUUCAUGAAAGAAUUCGUCAUUUGUUUUCAUUCUUGAAUUGUGUUGUUUUCUGUCAUUUGGAGAACCCAUGGAAAUUAACUUCCACAUGAAUCUAAUUCUGCCAUGUUCUCUCAACCGUUGCCUGAUGGCCAUCUUAUGUUUGGUGGCUUGGAGGAGUAGGCUUAGUUUUCUUAAUCAGUUUUGGAUUUCUCAAAUUUUGGUGUGUGCAUUUGGGCUUAUGGAGUUAGCCAUUUUGGUUGGUCUAUUUUGAUUACUGCAGGACUGGUUGUUCUAGAGUUGGAGCGGAGGGGUUGAGCAACUACUGAGCUUAUUGUAAUCACAGCUGAGUGAUAAGAUUCUAGAAUUGGCUCUCCUUUAGUCUGUAGUAGUUUUGUACUUCAAAGAAACAUGGACGGCUUACUAUGAUAGGCAAUACUAAUAAUAUUUGUACAAAAUAUUGUACAACUCUGGUCAUGCUUUUCUAAAAUGUUUAUAUCUAACUUUACAUUAUAAUCAGGUUAAAAAGAAUUUUAUGUACAAGCUAGAAUUCUAUCCAUGUCAUCCCUAAUAUUCUGUUGUCUCUUCCGGCUCAAAUGCUUGGCAUCCAAAAGAGUAAUAUAGCCACAAUACUGCACACCCGUGGAUCCUUCUCUGUAUCUAAAUAUAAGCACUGCCAUCCAGUUAAGAACAGUGUUAUUCUCCUUCUUAAAUGGAAAUAAAUAAAUGGCACCUUCUAACGGUUGUGUUAAAGAUUUUGUUCUCUGCCCUUCUAAAUUAGUUGUUGAAUUCUCUACCUAAUUGUUAUGCAUCCCUGCAUAUGAUAUUUAGGAUUGGACUGGCAAGCGGACGCAAGAAGAUCCUCUCUGUGUUUACAUUCUUAUAUCUAUAUUUUCUAUGCGGCCAGUCUACUAUUUCUUAUGCGAAUAAAUUCUGUCAAACAUACUAUUAAAGCUUCUUAAUUGGGUGCUAAAACUUCGCAAAUGCUUGGUACUAAAUUUUCUGGAACUGAAACUGCAUAACAGUUUAGAUAUGGUUUCCCUCUUGCCUUUUCAUUUGCCAAUGAGUUGCAAGAGUCAACUUGGCUCCUACUUUCUGUCUUUGGAUCACUUACUUCUAAUUGUUUAGAAAAAGAAACUUGCAUGUUGGAUCUGAAUGGAAAUAAGUUUUUAAAUAUACACCGCAAUUAAGCGGCAGACUAAUUAGUCUGUGAGAUACAAUUUCUUUUUUGAAAUUUUGUGAGAUACUCCCUCCAUCCGGGAAAAGUUGUCCCCAGCUCAGUUCAUUUCUAAUUUUGCAAAAAAAACCUUCUGAUUUUAAAUCUCGUGCUAAUCCCCCCUCACCUCUGCUUCUUCCUCCUUCGACCACGGCUGGACCAAGCGGCCGUCGGCAGCCGCCGUAGAAACAGCGGGCGCCCACCUGUGCCGCCACCCACCUGCGCCGCCACCCACCUGCUCCCCUGCCCCGCCGGCCACCUGCGCCGCCGCCCACCUGUGCCG